ACCCACUCAUUCCAUCCAGCAGUAGGACUUGUCACCAUCUACAUGAACAACACCACAAGCAGGGUUGUUUGUGAUCAUUCAUGUACACACACAUUUAGCCCUCCAGAGUCUGACCACCAAGGAAGUACUUUACUGGCUCACAUGGCUUCUCCUUCCUUGGUCUGUGCACAGAGUUGUUGCCACAGUAGGUGAGGACCCUUUAAGCUAGGUUGCUGGC
rnacentral:lncRNA from 10 species